rnacentral:rRNA from 1 species
AGCAUAUCAAUAAGCGGAGGAAAAGAAACCAACAGGGAUUGCCUCAGUGGCGGCGAGUGAAGCGGCAAGAGCUCAGAUUUUAAAUCCGGUACGGUUUCCGUGCCCGAGUUGUAAUCUGAAGAGGAUGUUCCGGCAAGGUCGGCCGCCCAAGUUCCUUGGAACAGGACGUCUCAGAGGGUGAGAACCCCGUACCCGGCGGUCCGGCUGAGCCAUGUGGAACUCCUUCGACGAGUCGAGUUGUUUGGGAAUGCAGCUCAAACUGGGUGGUAAAUUCCAUCUAAAGCUAAAUACCGGCGGGAGACCGAUAGCGCACAAGUAGAGUGAUCGAAAGAUGAAAAGCACUUUGAAAAGAGAGUUAAAAAGUACGUGAAAUUGUUGAAAGGGAAGCGCUUGCCAUCAGAACAGGCGCCGGUCGAUCAGCGUUCCUUCUGGUUCGUGCACUCGGCCGGCCGCCUUGCCAGCAUCGGUUGCCGCGGCGGGACAAAGGCGGCAGGAAAGUGGCUCCCCUCGGGGAGUGUUACAGCCUGCCGUGUAAUGCCGCCGGUGGCGACCGAGGACCGCGCUCCGUGCAAGGAUGCUGGCCUAAUGGUUGUAAGCGACCCGUC